UUAGCUCUCUUUGCCUUUUGGCUUAGAUCAAGUAUUGGACCCCUAUCGUGAGAUUUGGUCUUCCAAUACUAAAACCGCAGACCUGUUCUUUUCAGUUUUUAAGUCAUUGGAUUCGCCAGCAGUGUGUCAAUAUCCUGACCUUUUACAGAAUCUCUGAAACGUGGCUACGGCCACUUCAAUGAUUAUACUUAUUUUUGGCCUUGGAUGGGUGGCCGCUGGCCUUGCCUGUGUCGCCCGUCAACGUGUCGCUGGUAUUGCACUGCUUCCAGCUCACGCGACCUCUU
rnacentral:snRNA from 1 species